rnacentral:rRNA from 1 species
GAUGAACGCUGGCGGCGUGCCUAAUACAUGCAAGUCGAGCGAACGGACGAGAAGCUUGCUUCUCUGAUGUUAGCGGCGGACGGGUGAGUAACACGUGGAUAACCUACCUAUAAGACUGGGAUAACUUCGGGAAACCGGAGCUAAUACCGGAUAAUAUUUUGAACCGCAUGGUUCAAAAGUGAAAGACGGUCUUGCUGUCACUUAUAGAUGGAUCCGCGCUGCAUUAGCUAGUUGGUAAGGUAACGGCUUACCAAGGCAACGAUGCAUAGCCGACCUGAGAGGGUGAUCGGCCACACUGGAACUGAGACACGGUCCAGACUCCUACGGGAGGCAGCAGUAGGGAAUCUUCCGCAAUGGGCGAAAGCCUGACGGAGCAACGCCGCGUGAGUGAUGAAGGUCUUCGGAUCGUAAAACUCUGUCAUUAGGGAAGAACAUAUGCGUAAGUAACUGUGCACAUCUUGACGGUACCUAAUCAGAAAGCCACGGCUAACUACGUG